CACCGACAUGAGAAUAUUUUUCUGCAGGUAUUGUAGGUAAGGGUGUAAGUGGGAUGACCCGCCAACCCGUUUAAAGACCAAUUAAGUGGGUUACCCGGUAACCCGCUUAUAGGCGAAAUUACCCACUUAAUUGGUCUAUAAGCGGGUUGGCGGACCGGUACACUUACACCCCUUAUUUUAGGUUGUGCUUGCUUUUCUGGUGCGUGUACACCAACUCCUGGUGCAUGUACACUAAAGGGUGUUUGUUCUUUAAUCUUGUCUUCUACUUCUUCGUGACAUUGUUCAAUAUCCCAUCAGCCAACAAAUAGCCCUAUUCAAUGUUAGUUGCACGAGAUGCUAAUGCAGGGAAUCUUUGGGUUACCCAAAACAUUUAUGCCACGAACUUUUAGCACAUUGCAAAUUAUUCUACAUAUUUCAAAUUAUUGGCAACUGCAUUAAACUCUUUGGUCAGAAGGAUGACCCACAACUAACUACUCUUCUGCUAUUGAUUUUCCAUCGAAGGAUCCAAUGCUCACAAUGUAUUCAUUUGGUCUAUUAGUUUCUCUAGCAUAUGCUGCUAUCGAACUUUCAAAUUAACUUUGCGAAGCUCUGAAUAUGUGUGGUGUAUACAUUUGCCUAACUAGUAAUAGCAUAGGCAUCUUCGGUUUUGUUUGCAGCAAUUUUAUCCUUACUCAU
rnacentral:lncRNA from 1 species